rnacentral:rRNA from 1 species
UACAGAGGGUGCAAGCGUUGUUCGGAAUUAUUGGGCGUAAAGGGCGCGUAGGUGGCCUGUGGAAGUCUGCGGUGAAAGCCCGGCGCUCAACGCCGGGUUUGCCGUGGAUACUCUCGGGCUUGAGCUUACUAGAGGCAGAUGGAAUUCCGGGUGUAGCGGUGGAAUGCGUAGAGAUCCGGAAGAACACCGGUGGCGAAGGCGGUCUGCUGGGGUAAUGCUGACACUGAGGCGCGACAGCGUGGGGAGCAAACAGG